ensembl:lncRNA
GCAGAAAGUUGUUUCAGAUUAAUGAAACAAUGUGAAUGUCAACCCCAGGGGAGUCAGGGGGGAAUGAGGUGUUUUGGAGGUGAGUCACCGUAGAGAUGUCAACCUCAGGGGAGUCAGGGGGGAAUGAGGUGUUUUGGAGGUGUGUCACCGUAGAGAUGUCAACCUCAGGGGAGUCAGGGGCGAAUGAGGUGUUUUGGAGGUGAGUCACCGUAGAGAUGUCAACCUCAGGGGAGUCAGUGGGGAAUGAGGUGUUUUGGAGGUGAGUCACCGUAGAGAUGUCAACCUCAGGGGAGUCAGGGGGGAAUGAGGUGUUUUGGAGGUGAGUCACCAUAGAGAUGUCAACCCCAGGGGAGUCAGGGGG